rnacentral:rRNA from 1 species
AUUGAACGCUGGCGGCAUGCUUUACACAUGCAAGUCGAACGGUAACAGGCCGCAAGGUGCUGACGAGUGGCGAACGGGUGAGUAAUAUAUCGGAACGUGCCCUAGAGUGGGGGGUAACUAGUCGAAAGACUAGCUAAUACCGCAUACGAUCUACGGAUGAAAGUGGGGGAUCGCAAGACCUCAUGCUCCUGGAGCGGCCGAUAUCUGAUUAGCUAGUUGGUGGGGUAAAAGCCUAACAAGGCGGCGAUCAGUAGCUGGUCUGAGAGGACGACCAGCCACACUGGGACUGAGACACGGCCCAGACUCCUACGGGAGGCAGCAGUGGGGAAUUUUGGACAAUGGGGGCAACCCUUAUCCAGCAGUGCCGCGUGAGAGAAGAAGGCCUUCGGGUUGUAAAGCUCUUUUGUCAGGGAAGAAACGGUGGUAGCUAAUAUCUACUACUAAUGACGGUACCUGAAGAAUAAGCACCGGCUAACUACGUGCCAGCCGCCGCAGUAACAC